AGUGAACGCUGGCGGUAGGCCUAACACAUGCAAGUCGAACGGCAGCACAGUAAGAGCUUGCUCUUACGGGUGGCGAGUGGCGGACGGGUGAGGAAUACAUCGGAAUCUACUUUUUCGUGGGGGAUAACGUAGGGAAACUUACGCUAAUACCGCAUACGACCUACGGGUGAAAGCAGGGGAUCUUCGGACCUUGCGCGAUUGAAUGAGCCGAUGUCGGAUUAGCUAGUUGGCGGGGUAAAGGCCCACCAAGGCGACGAUCCGUAGCUGGUCUGAGAGGAUGAUCAGCCACACUGGAACUGAGACACGGUCCGGACUCCUACGGGAGGCAGCAGUGGGGAAUAUUGGACAAUGGGCGCAAGCCUGAUCCAGCCAUACCGCGUGGGUGAAGAAGGCCUUCGGGUUGUAAAGCCCUUUUGUUGGGAAAGAAAAGCAGCAGGUUAAUACCCCGCUGUUCUGACGGUACCCAAAGAAUAAGCACCGGCUAACUUCGUGC
rnacentral:rRNA from 1 species